UACGUAGGGUGCAAGCGUUAAUCGGAAUUACUGGGCGUAAAGCGUGCGCAGGCGGUUGUGCAAGCCCGAUGUGAAAUCCCCGGGCUCAACCUGGGAAUGGCAUUGGUGACUGCACGGCUAGAGUGCGUCAGAGGGGGGUAGAAUUCCACGUGUAGCAGUGAAAUGCGUAGAGAUGUGGAGGAAUACCGAUGGCGAAGGCAGCCCCCUGGGAUAACACUGACGCUCAUGCACGAAAGCGUGGGGAGCAAACCGG
rnacentral:rRNA from 1 species